AAAGUACACCUGCCAUUUACAGUUAUCAUUUAUACUAUCCUAGACAUCUUUAAUCUUAUUUACAUAGGCCUACAGUAGGCCUGAUUUCCUCAUUCCCUGUCCAUCAUACUCCUGUUGUCUUCCUGCACACCUGACUGCCUCCUCCAUCGAUUGCGGCCACAGACCUCUCCCUGUACAAUAUUUCAUGUUAAAUACAUUUCAGGAUCAAGGUUGAGAUUCAGUUUCAGUAUUACUUGUUUUUGAAACCUGACGUGGGGCUGGCACCGCCACCAUCAUAUCUGUCUUAUUUAUUGCACCCACACAUAGGUCCAUGAUACCAUGUGGGGUCAUUUCAGAGACUCCUUUGCUUCCUAACACCUUUUUCACAGGUUAAAGACUUUUUGAAGUAAAGAGGAGCAUCUCAUCUGAACCUGAUGUCCAUCAUGGAUAUUUAUCUGCAGUUCUGUGAGUAUCCCAACUUGACCAUGAAGCAUAACUGCAAACUGUAAGUCAUUAAUUUCUCAUUACUCUUGGGCACAUGGAUGUAUUUUGGCUUCCUGGUGAGUUAACCUGUUACCUGAAGGUUGAUCUGAGUAGUUAGGAUGUUUUAUUGGUUCAUGGGUUACUUAGGUGUUUGGUUUAUGUUGGUUUUAAUGAUUUGUUAAAAUGGUUACAGGCUCCAAGUUAUUGUUGUAAGCUGGAGUAAUGGGUUGGGUUCUGAUAUCUUCAGUCUUCUUUCAUUCUACUCUCCUGAGCUCUGCGUGUUAAUUUAUUGAUGAGGGUGUGGUCUGAGGGAGCAGAGGUGCAUACUGGGGUACAGAGCUGUCUCGAGUCUACUGGUCUGUAGACACGCCCCCUCAGGGGAAUCGGAGUGUUUGAGAAACUGUCGUGUCGUCAGUUACAUGGCCUGGAAUGUUCUUAAAGGGGACCCAUUAUGCUUUUUUGACUUUUAAGCCCUAUAAACGUUGUUAUAAUGGAGUCAUAUUUAACCAUACACAAAAACGAUGUCGAUUUUCGGGAAACUCUUCCUCUCAUCUGGGCGCUUUCAGCCUUCUCUAUCAACGCUCGGUUUCGUCCUUCCCCGCCCACCUCGCCCCCUCCUGCCAACCCAACUCUGUUGUGAUUGGUUACCUUCCUUGGAGCGCCUGCGUGGGCAGAUUUGACCAGGCAUAUGGGGGCGCGGCAGGAGUGCCUCUACGUAGAUGAUUUCCCGGAAAUGUGAACAAGUGAAUGCAAACGUUGUCCCGAGUGUUUAGCGCUCUGCAAUUCCACCCCAGACUGGGGUGGCUCGAAAAAAAAGUCGAAAAAGGAUAAUAGGUCCCCUUUAAAGAUGGAGAGAGGGAUUCAGAAGGAGAAACACCAGGGGGAGAUGAGGGGGCUCCUCAUCUCAACGACUAAAACGCAACUUCAGUCUGACACGGAGAACCAUGGAAUACAUUCAACAGUCCCCUCCAGGCAUCGUGACUCCUCAGGAACAGUUUCCAAGAAGGUCUUAUUUGGGGCCAUCCCCAUAUGGAUCCUGCUCCUCAAGAGCCACCCCCCUCCACUGGUUGGUCUUCUGAACAGAUGAUCUCCUUCCUGUCCUCAGGCUGACUAAAGCUGCACCGUUUGCAUCUGUGAAGACCCCUCAUUCAGGAAACCACUGGACUACAAAGACAUGACUUCAGAGAUGUUGAAUCAACCUGGGACACCAAGCAUAAUCCAUCACCAAUGUGGGACGCCACUGAAGAAUGUUGUACAUAAUUUACGUCUCUGGAGACAUUGGUUGUUCUGUUAUGGGUGCCCUGGCAGGAGAGCUCGGGGGGGAAUGGAAUGUUAUUUGGCAUGAGGUUUUUACCCUGCAUGAUUGUUUGGCCUUUUAGUCAGGUGUGUGUGUGUGUGUGUGUGUGUGUGUGUGUGUGUGUGUGUGUUGAGAUUAAAGAUUUUUGAGCAUCGGUAGGGUUCUCUGUGUGUGUGUGUGUGUGUGUGUGUGUGUGUCUCCCCCACUCACACCUGGCAUGGGGUUCUACGUGCCUGUCCUGGGUUCUGUGUGUGUGUGUGUCCGGCUUGCUUUGACAGUGAUAAUGUUCAUACGGGGGUCUGUGUGAUUGGCUUGGGAUAUUGGAAUGGUAAACUAAAUCAUACCUGAUGGACGGCCUCACGUUUACUUAAGGGCCUCAAGUAGACAUGAAGAGCCCUGAGCGACGCUCCGGAGCGAGAUCCAACACACUGGGCAGGAAGGAGAGUACCCAACUCAAGUGACUUCAAACUAGGACUACACCAAUCAGGAUCAAUGGAGGAUGGACACCAAUCCGGAUCAAUGGAGGAUGGACACCAAAAGGAAUUCCACAAGGAGAGUCUGAAGUUGGAAAGGGACCUAAAUGGAUAUUCAAGAUGACCUUCAGACCUGUAAUGAGACUGCUCUUCCUACCUGGCUGGAUUGAUGGAGAGCCCUGUGGAUCUUGUCUUGCUCUCAGUUGCACGUCUUCUCAGGCUGAACUGUAUUUGUUUCGGACAGAACUAGCUGAACGAUUGGUUCCCUUAAAUCACAACCAAUCCGGGCACUCCAGCUAGUUCGCUCUUUGAGCUGAAGUGUUGCUCUUCAGCUGAGGAGGUAAGGGAACCUUCACUGGGGCUUCAAGAUGUAAAGAGGAGAAUGUUUCAAAGUGUUCCAUGGUACUCUGAAGACCGUUGUUGUGUUCAACUGGCUGAGAGGAAGAACCCACACAUCUUCCUCUUGGCCUUUCUCCUCUGAGAAUCCUGGCGCCAUCUUGAAGGAUAUUCCAUUUCAUGUAACUGAUGUCACGACAGAUUCUCAAACACUUGGUUUCUCCUGAGGGGCGUUUCUAUAGAACUGAAGACUUCAGACAGCACUGUAUCCCAGCAUGCAUCUCUGCUCACUCAGAACACACCCCCAUGAGUAGGAUGCAACACUCUAGUGAUGGUGAUGUAGAGUUUUAUAAGUAACGAGGGAGCAGACUAGGGGAUUAGAACACAAUGGUGUGUCAAGUCUGUAAAUCUUUAAACCAUGAAGAUGGUUGGAUAGUUCAGGAAUUGGGCUUCUUUUUAAUAUGGGCAGUCCUUUCACUCAGAUGCUCACUUCUCACUAGAGCUGUACAUGUGUUGGCUGGCUGGCAUGAUUUGCUGUUGGUGAUGGUGAGCUCAACGUUUAGAUUUGCUCUGUAUGGUUUGUACCCUGAAUAAUCUAGAUAAUUGUAAAAUGUAGACACGGUUUUGUAUUGAAUGAUUCCAGGAUUUUAGAUUUAAAGUUGUUGUACAUGGUAGUUUGGUUCUUCGUAUGGUUUUGAGUGAUAUAACUUGUACACACUGGGUGCAUAAUAAUGUAAAGGUACACUGAAUAGUAGUAAUGACCAACAGCAACAAACAGAUCUCCUCAAGGUAAGUCUGUUGGCUGUGUUUUAAUGAAGACCAUCGCUGGACUUCAGGAUCUUCCUCCGUUCAGCUCAAGGUGAGGCGCUGGUUCUGUUUUUUCUUUGGUUGGUUCCGGCCGGAAUGUUCGGAUUCCAGUCGGACGGUUUGUGCUUCACGCCGUGGAAGGUUCUGAGUGCGGUCACUUGAUUUAGUCCCAAUGUUUAGCAUAGAACGUUGUAGUCUUGACAACCAUAAGAAACCACCUGGCAGUUAGUUGGACAGGAGUCCCCUAAGGGAAUCUGGCGGAACGUUCUGGAUUGUAUUUGCGUAACCUCGAGCCGUUGCCAACGGAAACUAUUUUUCAGUCGGUUCCCAUUGGGAAUUGUUUCCCCUAUCUUAAACAACUUAAGUUUGAUAUUAAAUACAUACUGACACGUACCUCGUACAAUAUGUUGAUAAUUUCCGAUGGUUGCGCCGUACUUUUAACCACGUUGACGGGACUCUUGCUGCGUACCGAACGGCGUUCUACUUGCGGCCCCAUUUUUGACAUCAGUGAAGGCUGAAAAAUAAUUUCAAGGUGGAAGACAAUUUGACAUUUCUUCAGAGGAACCCAGCACCUGAAUAUGGCUGAGUAAAUUUGAUUUAAUAUCGAUACUGCUUAGUGUUCUUUGUUACUUCAGCUUUUGUACGUUCUAAAUAUCUGCUGUUAAUUGCCACAGAAGUUAAACCCUACCCAAUAGAAUGACGUUAAACAACGACUUUGGUGCAGAGUUAGCAACUGGAUAAUAUCAAAGCUAAAAUAAUGGCCGUCAUUCCCACAUGUUACAGAUACCCUAGAACUGUACAAGGUUAAAAAGGUAACAUGUAGUUUGUCCCAAGGUGUCUGCCUCCUCACCCAGAGCAAGAGCUCCACCUCCUCACCCAGAGCCAGACCUCCACCUCCUGUCAGAAGUCCUCCAGAACAGCUGAAAGGCGAGGCUGAGAGGCUGGGGACCGGAGGCUUGUGGUGCCAGGAUGGACCGGAGACUGAGGCUUGAGACCAGGGGCCUGCAGCACCAGACCAGAGGGUAACCAUCACCCAGCUCAUCCGAAACACUAAAAUCCACGGUAGUUUAGGUCUGGUUUUGAUCAUCUUAUGAAUUUAAAUCUGUGCCACGCCGUGAGUUAAUUCAUACGGGGUUAUGCAAGAGUCAUAUGAGCCAUUAAUGUUACUAGUGCUGCUACGACCGUAGUGGAUGAAUUGCUGAACGCGACAAUCUGCAGACGUUGUCUAAUUUAAGUGUUUAAAUUUGUCUUCCAUUUUACAAGUGAACCUCAGAUGCAGGAGGUGGGGUGCGUUGCGUCCCUUGGCUGGUGGAGGGCCUGCCUGGUGAAUGACGUCUGUCGUGGGGUAGAUGGAGCUUGACUCUGAAGUUAUCAUCACACUCACUGCCACUUCUCGUAGAAUACUGCCACCACAAACUACCGGCAUUUGUACCAUGUAUACCGGAUGACUACAUCUGAAGAUUUCCACUGUUUGCUCCAGACCAGGACUCUGUCUGAGGAGAGCUGCUGGAGGAGCUGAGACGCUGGAGGACGACUAGGAAUCGACUAACAAGGAUUCCUUAACGCGUUUCUGGAGCGGAGGCGAGCUGGUAGGGGAGCCGUGAAUCUGGAGGAUGACCAUCACUCUACCAACAAGGAUUACUUUAGGGCCAGACUCGCGCUGUUUGUUCCAGACCAGGACUCUGGCUGAGGAGAGCUGAUGGAGGAGCCAAGACUCUGGAGGACGACCUCACUCCACCAACCAGGAUCCUCACCAGGAAUCUGGAGGACUGAUGGAGAAGCCAUACAUCUGGAAGGCAAAUCCUGAGGACCACCAGGACUCUACCAUCAAGGAUUCCUCAUUAUUGUGCAUUAUCUGGACAUAGUGGACUAGACACACCUGAGCUUAACCUCACCUGAUCCUGUUUGGUCGGGGGUAGACACACCUGAGCUAUACCCGCCCUGAUCCUGACAUCCUGCUGGUCCCGUCCCCUCAGUUCAUCUGAGCCUCGUCCUCCAGAAGACCUGCUGAGCUCAGCAGUCUGAGGCUGAUGGAUCAAUGACCUCCAGUGGGAGUGAUCUUCUUGACCCCAAAUGUAACCGUGUGCUUCCACACGCCUUUCCCUCACGUCUGUCACUAACCUCACUACUUCACUACUGCUUCCUCUUUUCUUCCUUCUCUGUGGUUCAAACCUUUACACUGAAGGCGCGUCUUCCUGCCCUCAGAGGGUUUAGCGUUAGGGUUGAGAGUCAGGGUUUAGAGUCAGGGACAGAGCUGGUCAGGGAGGACUGCUUUUAAACAAACCUCUUCACUUGCUUUCGGAAUGGUGGUGACAUUUUGAAAGGAUUCAUUUGGGAAAAUGUUUUCCUCUGCUUUCCUUUACAAAUUGUAUUGAAUUUCUGUCGAGUGUUUUUGUUUAUGUAUUAAAAUCCCACAUUGACUUCUACAUGUUUGUUGCAGUUCAUUUAAUUGUCCUUUAACUUGGUUAAUGUCAAGCUAAACUCCUGCAAUACAUUUAAUCUACAUUGUUUUUCUGCAUUGUUACAUUAUCCAUUUUGUAAAAAUAUGAAACAUCCUUAUUACUACUAAAUUCAAGC
ensembl:lncRNA